ACUGUAGUCAGCCGUCGGAGAAGGAUACACCUCAAGCUUCUGUGAUAAAAAAGUGUUUUAGUUAUUUUCCCCAUUUUAUAUACCCACAACAUGUUUUAUAGCGUCGUUAUGCUUUUAGUUACUGUGUUAUUCGAUUGAGUGACUGAACUCAGCUUCUGCUGUGUGUCCUCGAGACAGGGCCGGAGCAAGCUGAACUGCCGCUCUAGGCAAAGGAUGUUCACGGAUAUAACUGAAGACGCGGGUGGUGAGGGAGGUGUCGUGGACAGAUCUGAGGUCGCGGGUGGUAAGGAAGGUGUCGCGGGCAUACUGGGGACGCGGGUUGUGACGGAGGUGUCGCGGACGCCACCCUCUCUAUUCAGCAGCCUCGGUCACCUUUAUGGACGCGCCGGCCCUGCCUUGAGGCUGCUGCUGCAUGUCUUUGCGGCUCGCGUGAUGGUUAAUUCCGGUUUAGUUCAUAUUUGUGAAGAGAAUGUGAGUGCAUAAUGUCACUGUGUCGUGUCUGAAGAGCUCAUCUGGAAUCCCUAAAGGAGAGACCUUAACAUCUUUACUUUCAGCAGAGUUUUCUUGAAAAUAAAUCCUGGAAGAUGGUCAUAGGCUGAGAUGAAAGGGACUCUUCUAAGACCUCGGAUGUUCUAAAUGACUUUAAUCCUUGGAAAAUGUGAGCUUUGUCCAAAGACACUGAACAUUUGAUUGCUGAAAUUGGCAUACAGAGAGCAGAUGCCCUUCCAGCCGCAACUCAACACUGGUAAACACCCAUACACACUCUACGGACAGUUUUAAUUUUCCCAAUUAACCUGUACCGCAUGUCUUUGGACUUGUGGGGGAAACUGGAGCACUCAGAGGAAACCCACGCAAACACAGGGAGAACAUGCAAACUCCCAGCCGAGGCUCCAACCAGCAACCUUCUUGCUCAGCCGAUGCUCCACGCAGAGAUCAGAUAAUUCAGAAGAACUGAAGAACAUCUUCCCAAGACAUUUCAAGAAACCUGUCUGCAAAGCAUUAGUAAUAGGAAGGUUAUAGGUUCAUGUGCUGUAACACUGAGGUUGCUUUCAAAAAUAUUUCAUCAGUGAACUCUAGUGUAAACUAAAUUAAGUCAACAUUUGUUGGCAUUUUUAAUAACUUUUUUUAGUCUUAUUAUUAGUUGUGUCUGUCUUCCACAAAAUAAGGAUGUACCACACUGCCAAACACU
rnacentral:lncRNA from 1 species